AAGGCCAGGGUCACUCUGGUUUUUUAUUCUCGCUGGUACAACACACACAGGUGGGACACACACCAGUGGUUUGCAGGCAAAGCGUGAUCUCCAGGUGCAUUUUCUGUGCCCUGCGGCUCCCAGAACACCUCAGGCAGAGGGACAGCACACAAAACCAGGCUGAAAAGUACCACGACACAGACACAGCUCCCCGACCCACAGAGAUGGGAAUGAAAGCUCCCAGGUGCACUUGGAUCAGGUUUAGAAGUGCAGCCCCUCACUGAGCCAGGGCUGGAGGGCACAGCUCCCACCCCUCUCCUGUAAACAAACGGGAAGCUCCCAUCCCUUCCCAUCUGGGGAAAGCUCCCAUCCCUUCCCACCUGGAUGAAGCAGCUCCUUCAUUUUACCCCCCAGAGGGACAGAAGUGCCCAUCCCAGCACUGACUAUUGGUGACAAAAGCAGUUUCAUGGGAGUGCAGUGAACCCACCCUGACAUCAGGACUCAUCUCAAUCUGCUGGAGGGCCCUUCCCAGUGUCCCAUCCCCAGAUUUCCACGCUCAGGAGGCACAGCACCCUGCUUUUCCCAUCAAGGGGGGAUAACAGGCGUGGGUUCCCUCUCCCUUCCCUCCAUCCCAGCCAUGACUCCAGACAAUCUGGGAGCCAGGAAUGUGCUGGCCAGGGCUGAUCCAGGCAGCUGAGGUCAUCCCGACAUAUUUCACAAGUGAACGGCUCUGCUGAGCUCUUUCCCAAAGGAAAAGUACACAGAGGGAACAGAAGGGAUCCUCUGCACACAAGAGGCUUUUUCCAGCCCCAAAUAAUCCCAACAAAGCAGAGUCUGACUCCUGCAAGGCACUUUUUAAAGCAUUUUUCCCCUGAAGCACUGAUGAACCUGUAGUUGUUACACCAGGAGUGGCUCAGCACAGAGCAGGGUCCAGCAACUCAAACUGAAAAAGGCAUUUAAUCCAUUAAAUUUAGGCUGGGUCUUCAAUUAAAGCUAAACCUUGGCUUUUAGGCUGGACUCAGACAUCACCUGCAUAAAAUCAGAUUUAUGUGGACAAGAAUCAGACAAUGCAGGACAAAAGUGAAGGCACAGAUUCUUUGCUGAGGAAUUACUUUUAUAAGCAAAUUAAAAAAAGUAAAGGUUUUGUAAGUAAAGAAAUUCCUCACAGAUGCAGGACUUCAUUUGCCUGUAAGACCCCUGAAUUCCACAGCACCUGGCACAUGGAAUAUCAGCUGUAUUUUGUUGUAUUUGUACUUGAUUUCACCCCAAAGGCCACAAAACAGGAGACAUGAGAGGCUGUCAGCCCCAAAAGGGUAAAGAAAAUGCCUUAAGACACAGCUUUUUAAAAAACAAGCCUCAGAUGUGGCACCAAUGGAUUGCAACUGAGUUUGUAACUAAACCAUGGAAGUUUCUUUGGGAAAAGACCUGACAAAUUCACACACUUCCACCCACUGCUUCCAGUCUGCUGCAGUUUAAAACCUCCCAGAGCUGCCACAUUUGUGUUUCUGGAGGAAGAGCUGAACUCUUUGGGAUGCUGCUCUGAGCUCUCUGCAGGCCCCAAGUGCCAGCCCCGUUCCUCCCACAGCAUUUGCUGCUCAUGGACACGGCACUUCCCAGGAAAGCAGCUCCUGUGGGAGCAGUGGGUCUGACUCUCUUCCUCUCCAUCUGCCCCCCUCAAGCAGCAAUUCCAGCCUCCCUGCACAUUCCACAGGAUGCCAGGGAAAAAUCAGGGAUUUCUCCCCUUGCCCCGGUGCUGCACCCUCCUCAAGCUCGCUUCAGCUGCCACACGGAUCAGCGUUUAUCAGGAGGCAGGAGACUCCUGCUGCCUCAAUCCUUGGAAGAGAGGGAUGUUCCAUCACUGCCACAGCCCCUGCUCAGUUUUAAGACACUGAAAUCCAACCAAAUUUAACUUUUUUUCCUUAUUCCUGUGUUUUUUCUCCCUUUCUCUUUCUGCACCUCCAGCAAAAAGGAGGAAGGACUCUCUGAGGGAGGUAAUUUUAGUAUUAAAUACUCUCAGCAUUAUUUAAGGGAGUAUCUCCCUUCAGUAAUUCCAUCUGGAGAAUCUGCUGGCUGUCAGGAAAACAAUUUCUUCCACCUUAAAGCACGAGAAGCUCCCUCAGGCUCUACUUUAGGCUCACAGGACCUUCCUCUGUGCAUCUCAGCCACGAGUGGCAGUGACCAUUCUGCAGUGACCAUGGAUGAGGACAUGUCCUCCUCUCGCUAUGCAGUGGAAUGGAGGACAUGGAACGUCCUUCUCCUGCUGUGCAGUGACCAUGGAUGAGGACGUGUCCUCCUGUUCUGCAGUGACCAUGGAACGUCCUCACCCUGUUGUGCAGUUACCAUGGAAUGUCCUUCUCCUGCUGUCCAGUGACCAUGGAAUGUCCUCACCCUGUUCUGCAGUGACUGUGGAACAUCCUCCUCUCGUUGUGCAGUUACCAUGGAAUGUCCUUCUCCUGCUGUGCAGUGACCAUGGAUGAGGACGUGUCCUCCUCCCAUUCUGCAGUGACCAUGGAUGAGGACGUGUCCUCCUCUCGCUGUGCAGCUCAGCCAUGGCUGCAGAGGGUCGUGUCCUGCUGUAUCCCAGCACUUGUGGCACCUGCAGGAAGAAUUUGGCGCUCUGGCUCCAGCAGUGACACCGUGAGGGGUCAGCAGGCUCCCAGGAGGGUUUCCCCGCAGGGAACACCCUCAGGCCGCGGUCCGGCGGAUCUCCUCGGGCAGGGAGACAGAUCUGUCCCUGUCCCUGUCCCUGUCCCUGUCCCUGUCCCUGUCCCUGUCCCGGCACUCGGCGCUGGAGCACUUGGACACGGUGCUGGCUGCCUGGCAGAGCUUGCGGAGCAGGAUCUUGCGCAGCAGCAGAAGCAGCUGAGGAUUCUACCCACGACAUUUCAUUGACAUCAGUGGCCACGGAUAGAGCCUUGUGAAAACACGGACACAGAGCCAGAGCACAGCAGGAGCCAGUGGGGCAGCAGCCCCACACUGCCAGAACCACUGCCUGGCUCUUCACACACCGCCCCAGUCCUGGCUCUGCCAGACUCUGCCAUCCCUUUUUCACAUGGAGCUCCAAAACCACCAGGCUAAUAGAAUACAUUUCCCAAGCACACAACUGCUGCUCGUUCCUGGCUUUAUUAUGUAAUAUCCCUUUAUUGGAGUAGCUGUUGGGCCAACAGCUGCUCUACUGGAAAUUUUGUUUGUUUGAUAUCAUUAGAGGUUGUUUAUCACGGCCUCUAUUGGUCUUCUAAAUGGAUUAAAAGGCUGCACAAGGCAGAGGAACAACAUCAGGUGGAAUAAAGUCAACAUGAUUUAUGCCAUUAAAAAUCUGGCUUAAAAUGCAUGCA